GAUGAAGAACGUAGCGAAAUGCGAUAAGUAAUGUGAAUUGCAGAAUUCAGUGAAUCAUCGAAUCUUUGAACGCACCUUGCGCCUUUUGGUAUUCCGAAAGGCACACCUGUUUGAGCGUCACGAAUACCUCAAUCUCCAUCUUUUCUUCGGAUUGAUGGGUGACUUGGAUGUUGAGCCCUGCUGGUAUGCUAUAUCAGCUGGCUUUAAACUUAUUAGCCGGCUCUGUACUGGAUCGGUUUGACUCGACGUGAUAAUAUUAUCGUUGAGGAUGCAUGUCUCAUGCAGCCGGAAAGUAUCAAAGCAGCUUCUAGCUUGCCUUUAGUGCACUUUUACAUUUUAGACCUCAGAUCAGGUGGGACUACCCGCUGAACUUAAGCAUAUCAAUAAGCGGAGGA
rnacentral:misc_RNA from 1 species